rnacentral:rRNA from 1 species
CCUACGGGAGGCAGCAGUGGGGAAUAUUGGACAAUGGGGGGAACCCUGAUCCAGCCAUGCCGCGUGUGUGAAGAAGGCCCUCGGGUUGUAAAGCACUUUCAGUGAGGAAGAACACCUGGUGGUUAAUACCCAUCAGGAAAGACAUCACUCACAGAAGAAGCACCGGCUAACUCCGUGCCAGCAGCCGCGGUAAUACGGAGGGUGCGAGCGUUAAUCGGAAUUACUGGGCGUAAAGCGCGCGUAGGUGGCUUGAUAAGCCGGUUGUGAAAGCCCCGGGCUCAACCUGGGAACGGCAUCCGGAACUGUCAAGCUAGAGUGCAGGAGAGGAAGGUAGAAUUCCCGGUGUAGCGGUGAAAUGCGUAGAGAUCGGGAGGAAUACCAGUGGCGAAGGCGGCCUUCUGGACUGACACUGACACUGAGGUGCGAAAGCGUGGGUAGCAAACAGGAUUAGAUACCCUUGUAGUC